CCAGACCUCGGCGCAGGUUGCUCGGCGGUCGACGGGCAGACAUGGGCAGCGGGGAAGGGGAAGAGAAGCCCUUCAAUUUCCUCCAGAUCCUCUGCUGACGAUGGUCUAGCGGCACAUGGCGCCGGAGUUGAGCCUGGGCAUGAGGAGCUCGCCGCCAUUCCCCACGCCUUCCUCCUCUCGCCCCUCCCCUUCCAAACUCCCCACAGCGACGGCUAGCGACGAUUAUACUACUAUUGUGUUUGGGUGCCUAAUUGACUGAUUGCCCACCGUUGAAAAUUUUGUUUAUAUAUAUAAAAAUCUUGAAGGUGCCACAAACUGCCAAUAAUGAUGUUGAUUAUUCUCCAGU